AAACUUACCUUUGUUUGUUAAUCAAGACUUCUGAUUGGUAUGAGAUGUAUAUUUAAAUUAAUUUAAUUACUCUUUUUUUUAAAACUUAACUAUAAUUGUUUAAUUUACAAUUUAAAGAUAUGCGAAAGUAUGAGAGCGACAUUCAACCACAAAAGCUGAAAAUAAACUAACAACGUCAUGGCUAAAGAAAAAAAAAGAAAAUCAGAC
rnacentral:lncRNA from 1 species